GAUGAACGCUGGCGGCGUGCCUAAUACAUGCAAGUCGAGCGAAAAGAUGAGGAGCUUGCUCCUCUGACGUUAGCGGCGGACGGGCGAGUAACACGUGGAUAACCUACCUAUAAUACUGGGAGAACUACGGGAAACCGGAGAUAAUACCGGAUAAUAUAUUGUACCGCAUAGUUCAAUAGAGCAAGACGCCUUUCCCGUCUCUUUUAGAUGGUUCCGCGCCACCUUUGCUGGGUGGUAAGGUAACGGCUUACCAAGGAAACGUUGCGUAGCCGAGCUGAUGGGGUGGUCGGGCACCCCGGAACUGGGGCACGGUCCAGGCUCCUACGGGAGGCAGCAGUAGGGAAUCUUCCGCAAUUGGCGGAAACCUGGCGGCGCACAGCCGCGGGAGUGGUAAAAGUCUUCGGAUCUUAAAACUCUGUUAUUAGGGAAAAACAAGUGUGUAAGUAAUUAUGCGCGGCUUGACGGUACCUAAUCAGAUAGCCACGGCUAACUACGUG
rnacentral:rRNA from 1 species